UUCCAGAAAUUUUAUCUUACUCCUAAUAUGCGAACAUUACCUGAAGAAAUUGAAUUUUCUCAUUUUUUAUUACAAAUUGGAAAUGGUAGUAUGAAUGAUAAUGAAGAUAAUGUAGAACUCCCAGAAGAUUGCAUCGACUAUGAAGAUACGGAUAUUGCAGAAAAUAUUUAUGGUUCAUUAAUAAGAGAGAAAAAAUACAAACAAGCUACUCGGUGUGCUAUUCUGGCGGCUAGAAAUAUCGAUGUGGACGAUCAAUAAACAAGUGGUUGAACUACUUGAUAUUGAUACUGAACGGAUAUAUAUGAGUGUAGAUAGUGCCGAAAACUACAAUGGAAAUGAUGAAAUUAAUUUAGAUUUGCUACCAGAAUAUCUAAAUACUCUUGCCCCAGCUACUUUACCACCUUAUGAACUACGAUUGAGACAAUUCUGUAUCGUCAUGUUGAUCCGAAAUCAGAGCGUCCCAUUAAAAUCACAGUUUCCCAUUAAAAUCGCUUUCGCAAUAACAAUAAAUAAAUCACAAGGUCAAACAUUUGAUAAAAUUGGAAUCGAUUUGAGGAAAGAUGUUUUUAAUCACGGACAACUUUACGUUGCAUUGUCGCGAGUACGAUCGUGGAAAUCAUUAAAAGUUUACGUCGGAAAUCAACGUAAGAAGAAAACAGUGAAAAAGUUUGUAUUCAAAGAAUUAUAUCGAUAAUUUGACGGAAAUACACUUAAAAGGAAUUGGAAUGUUCGGAAAGAAGAAAAAAUAAGGAACGACAGCCUCAUAUGAAACCAACCGUUCCAAAAUGAAUUUUCACGAACUCUUCUGAAGUACAUUACUCCAAUUGACCAACUAGAUCUAUUGUUUCUGUCAGAAAUCAAAACAUCAGCCUGUGGAAAAAACAGCCUUCUGAUAACGGGUUGAAUGUAUCAUCGGAAAAUAAUGAGAACAGCCUUGAGUGAAUUAGCACUGGAAGAUGAUAAUGAUCCAGAGCAAAAUCACAACAAAAGUGAAAGGAAUACGGAAGGCGAAAAUGAUAACGAUCUUCCAUAUACUUCAACCGACGAAAUGAAGAAAAUUCGUAGUGGAGACAGACUUAUCGAAAUCAUAAGAUUUGUUGAUAGAACCGAAGCACCUCAAUUCGUGAAAGGAGAUAUCUAUGUUCUGUCCUUCAGUAUCAGUAAUGAUGAUACAUCCAUGAAAAUCGUCGCAUUGGAAUGAUCAAGCUAGACGAGUGGAAUCUCUAAUUAAAACCCAUUCGAUCCUGCAUAUUAAUGGUACCACUGCUGGACCAACGAAUGAACGAUACAAUAUCGGUAAUUUACCAAUAGAGCUGACGAUAAACUCAAACACUGAAAUAACCAUGUUAGGGAAACACCAUAUAAAACCCGAUGAAAUUCAAACCUUCGACUUAUCUAUACUGAAAAUUCCUACGAGAAAAACAAUUCGAAUCACUGGCUUCAUAAAAACUAACUUCGCAAUAAAUAAACAUAAAAAUAGUAAAAAAGAUACUACAUCCCCAGGGAUGCAUUGCAGAAAAUAAAUUGAAACUACCAGUACAGAUACUGCUAAUGGAGAACUUCUCUAAUCCAUUCAAAAUAGGAGACCAUGUACAACUCUUAGGAAAAAUGAACAACAAUAAUGAAAAUUCCUACUUUUUGAUGAACAAAAUAUCCGAUAUGGAGAAAAUAGAUGAUCCAACUAUGAACAAGAGGUCCUUACUGUUGGCAAAUGAAUUUUUAAAUUUGUCUGUCAAUGAUGAUGUGAAUAAUGGCACCCCCUCAACUUCUGGCGUGAAGUAUACUAAUAAAAAGAGACAAAAACUUGAUGACAAUGAAUCUUCUCCAUCAACAUCGAAAAAGGGAAAAUAUAAGAAGCAAAAAAAAUCUCAUCAAGAGGGUGAAGAUAACUACAACGAAGACUACGAUUAAAAUAUUAAAUCAUUUUCAUUUCAAUCAUUUAGAAAAAAAAAAAUUAUGAGAGGUAAAUGAUAUCUUGAAGUAUAUCAUGUAUUCAAUUAAUUCCUUUUAUCAUAAAAUUAUAAUUGGAGAAUAACAAAUGAAGCAAUCUGUUUGUUGAUUGAACGUUUUCUAUACAAAACGUUACACUCGAUUUUUUAACAGGGGAUUCAAUAAAUAAUAAUUAUAAUGAUAAUAAUGAUACCGUAAUAUCUGGAGCCUCCCGGCGGAUGAUAGGCGCGCGAAGCGCGCGCCCAGUUCUAGUGAUACGAAGAUUACCUGUAGAUUUGCAAAGGCGCAUCAGAAGUAUGAUUGUGAGCAUUCCAGCUGACUUCCUUCGUUCUAUCGGGCGAACCUCUCGACGUUGGCUGGAGUUAUGGCUUCAUAUAAAUGGUGGAAACAUUGAACAUUUCUUAGAAUGA